UACGUAGGGGCAAGCGUUGUCCGGAAUGACUGGGCGUAAAGGGCGUGUAGGCGGCCGAUUAAGUCUGGAGUGAAAGUCCCGCUUUCAAGGUGGGAAUUGCUUUGGAAACUGGUUGGCUUGAGUGCGGAAGAGGUAAGUGGAAUUCCCAGUGUAGCGGUGAAAUGCGUAGAGAUUGGGAGGAACACCAGUGGCGAAGGCGACUUACUGGGCCGUAACUGACGCUGAGGCGCGAAAGCGUGGGGAGCGAACAGGAUUAGAUACCCUGGUAGUCCCUGAGCGGG
rnacentral:rRNA from 1 species